ensembl:lncRNA
CUCAUGUUACAGCUCCAGCCUCCCGGUGUGAAGCCAAGACUUGUACUAAAUCAUGAAUGGAUAUUAGGCAGGUGGGGUGAAAGCCAGGGCACCUCACAGCGUGCUCCUGCUGGUGCCGCUGCUGCUCUGCUCCGUCCUCCUGCACCCACCGCAGCUCUUCCUCCUCCCCGGGGCUGCAGAUCCUGCAGAGCACCCACGGCUGCUUCCAUUGCCCCUCAGCUCAGGACAUCCGGCCCUCAGAAAGUGCAGAAAGCCCUGAAUUCCUCAUUUUCUUCACGCAAUGAGAAGGGCUUCAGGACUCGGAUUACCCCCAUGAAAUCUCUCCCUGUCCCAAAGCACGUCCUGCGCGCUGGCUGAGGCAGGAGAAGUGUUCCAGUCUCUAUCGAAACCUGCGACUUCCACCACCCCUUUGGUGGCUGGGAAUGGCGCCCAGACAUGAAAUAACGAACUGAAACCCCUCCACGCGUUGACCAAAGAAAACAAGCUGUCAAACAGAAAUAUCCCCUCGCUCCUUUCCGAGGCGGACCCAAUCUCGUUCCCAUCUGCAGGCUGUGCGGCGCUGGGAAGGCAGCAUGAGGAACUCAGCAUGAAAUCGUCAGCGACGGCGUGCGGUGCUGUUUGUGCAGCAUAAAUCAGUCUGGGGAAUGAAGAGCCCCAUCUUCUUUCUCGCAGGGUGACGUUUUCCUCCAUGUCAGUGCAGGAUAGGAAGAUCAAGAUCUCUCUCAGUGACCAAGGGAGAAGAGCUUUUGGUCCACGUGCGUGUCUUGCAGUGGGGGAUCCCAAAUGAAGCCCCGAGUCCUGCAGCUCCUGGAAAUGCCACAUCAGAAACAUUCCUGCUACUGGGAAAAACACUUUGAAGACCGGGAAAACUGCAGACUUCAGUUGUUCUUUGUGGCUUCUGCAAUUUUUUCCUGGUGAGGUACAUUGCACGGAAAACCGUCGUGCCCGAUGUGGUCAGCAUUCUUAUUUACCAUAAGCAGAGCAGUUACACAUUGUUAAAUUAUUAUUAGCUUAGCUACCACUGGGAGGGUUGCCUCAGCCCUGCCAGCAGGGCUGAAACAAAUACCCACUGUUGCACACAGUCAACCAGCAAUGAGUUGCAUGGAUGCCCAGAACGUGUCUUGCUGCAGAGCUGUCCCCCCAGGCAGCAGCCCUUGAGGAACACAGGCUGAGCUGGGAUCUCUUGCAAUGGGAUGGGUUGAACGUGUGGAUGCUUUGGAGCUGAAUCUGAAUGUUCUCAGUGUGAGCCUUCGUUCACCCGUUGUGUCAGCCCAUCCAAAGCUGAAGAAUUCACUGCCAAAGGAAAUCUGGAGCUAAAUUCUCAAUUCCAAGCUCUGACGCUGGCAAUAUUUGCACCAAGAAACCUGACAAAAUUCAGGAAGUUUUUUAUGGCCGAUUCUUUCUGCCUGGAUAGAGCUCAUGCCAACAACAAUAUCAGCUCUGUGAAAGAAUUUUAUGGUGUUUUGCUGUGCCUGUGCCAUGGGAAAAAGGGGCAAGGAUGGACUUUACGGGGUGUUUGUAGAAGGACGAAGCACAUCGUCCUCACCCAAAGGGCAGCCAUCAAAGCAAAGCUGUGGCAGCAGGCAGUUCUUCUGCUCAGCCUGAACGUGCAGGGAGCAUCCCAUGGCUGGGAGGUGACUGCAGCCUCCACAGCACUGCUGUAGGCAGACAGCUGAGACGUGGCAUUCUGCACAAACCAGUGGCUGACUCCAGGCUGGGCCGCGUCCCCCAUCCCAGCACCUCAACACUGACCCCCCCAGGAUUGCUCAGCAAUUAACUGUGUGCUCCAUGGGUGAAAUGCGUGAAGUCUUGUGACAGCCACCUCGUCCCACAAGGCAGGGGGUGCUGAGAAAGACAAAACAACCCGCUCCCUCUCCUCUCUCAUUAAAGCAAAUGUCAUCGGCUGUGAUCAGCCUCUGUGUACAUGCACACAGCCAGCAGGAGAAAAUCAAACAUCAAAAGGGAAAGAAAAGAAAAAGAGACCCGAACAGGAUAUUGACAUCAUUGGGAGCUCUGCGAAUGGAGAUGAAAUGUAAAAUGAAGUUGCAAUCUGGCUGAUAGAAGUUGAGGACACGUUAACCCUUGGGCAGACCCGCUGCUUGCAGGGGUGGGAGGAGAGCUGCUUCCAUGGGCACCUGGGCUGCGAUUUGCUCUGGAAUGUGGGAGGAAUCUGACACCCAAAUUGCUUGGGAAGUUGGACACGUCCUGCCAUGGGCUGCUCGGGAAUUGCCAGUUCUCAUUAAUCUCUGCUGUGGAUCUGACAAGUCAGCUGGAGGGAAAUGGUUCAUUUCAUUUUCUUCUCAUCGAGAUUUUCCCACCGCUCUUUCCCUCCCCGUCUGUCCCACUGAUGAGGCAAGAAAAGGAUGACAAAGCAGAAAGCGAGGGAAGAUGCAGGGUGAACGUUUCCGCCGGGAUGUUUAAUGAUGAGAAAGGAAAGAAAGCACCAAAAGAAGUUCCUGACGGAAAAUUCCUCGCAGCUUUCAUGUCACAGCCCCUGACCUUCAGCUGCCCAUAAACACCCUGCAGCCACCCCCAGCACGUUCCCAGCAGCCCGGUGGGGCUCUGCAUUGAGCCACCCUUCCACCAGCAAAGCUCAGACUGGGAAUUCAAACCCCAAAUCCGGCUGUGGGGUGCCAGCAGCCAAACACAGCCUGGUUCAGCACCCCGUGCUCUGGUACCCCAAGGGGCCAUCAUUCACCACCACAUGUGAUGUGUGGUGUGGGCACACACCUUCAGAAACCCUCAAAACCAAAUAAGAUAUCACUGUCGAUAGGAGUUCUGUGAAUAGAGAUGAGGUAUAAAAUCGAAACAAGUAUUUCCUUAUGGUCUUUUUUGUUUAUUUACUUGGGGAAAUAACCAUGCACGGAGCUGGCAUUAAGGACUGGCUUUUCAGGCACAUUUUUAGCUAACAGAAUAAAGGGAUUUAUUUCUGCAGUGAAGAAACAGAGGAAUAACUUGUAAAGGCACUGUAAUUCCAUCCAUUUGGAGCUGACUGUAGCUCUGAAGCAGCCGCAGAUAACUUAAGAUGUUGCAAGUUCAGAAGGGAUUUUUAUCUCUCUGUUUGGAGAAGCAUCGCCUUGACUUCAUCGGCACAAUCUCAGUGUGAGGCUGUAGUUUAAAUAACAGGAAGGAAGAGCGGCUGCCCCGGGUCCAAGUUUGCCCCAGGAUUUGGGAUAAAGGCCGGGCUGCCAAGCAGGGGGUCCCAAACCCCAUAGCAGCCCCAUCCCACGUGCUCUGGGGCUAUGGAGGGAUGCGGGGGACGGUUGGAUCAGAACAUCGCUGCCAUCCAGGGGAUCUGGGCAUGAAGUGUACAGGGAAGCCCUGAUGGAAGAAAACAGAGCAAUGCCAUGCUGAGCUUCCCAGAGCAGAGCAGGGUGAGCAGGUCCUGGCCCUGUGCUGCAGCCCCACUCAGACCAGUCUAUGUCUCGGUCGCUGUCUGCUCCCUGUGCCAGCUGUUAACCAGCACCACUUGCUCGGCCUGAGCUGACCCAGCCAAUACCUGGAAUUAAUGAAACAAAAAGGCCAUGAAGCAAGGAGCUGUUGUUACCUAAUGUGUCUCAUCCCCUGAGCAACGUGUCCAUCAGCACGGUGCUGCGCAUCAGGAGGGGAAGGCGAUUUGGGUGCCUCGCUGUGUGCUCAGCAGCUCGGAUCCCCUCUGCUGCUUCACCUUUCUAACCUGCAUCUCUUCUGCUGUUUUUAUAGAAACAGCCUCAAUUAUUCCCACCCUGUUCUAGCAGGCCUAGGGCCAAGCUGCUUAGCUGCAGGUUUUCCUGCUCGUGAACAGCAAGCAACACCUAUCCACGCAAUGCAGAAGAAGCAUCCCAGUGGGUUUGCAUUUGCACUUUGCUAAAGACAGUGCUUUUGGGGCUGAAUUUCACCCAGGAGAGGCAGCAGGAGACUCUGCAGUGCUCAGCACCGGGCAGGAUCGGGGCUGCACAUCACUCUGCCACUCAGCCCUGGGAUCCCAUCUGUGGGAUAGCAUAGGGCCGGUGACACGGGACUUAUGGAGCUGUGUGUUUCAACAUACAUUUUCCAAAAGCUAUUUCAUACGUUCCAUCACGCCGAGUAAUGCGCUGGAAACCAUCCAGGCUUGGGGAUGUUUCUGUAAACGCAUCAUCUCUGCCCUUCCACUGCUUUUGCUGUGAGCAGAGGGGACCCGGUGCUCCCCCCUCCUGCUGUGGGAGCUGGGGAUGCUGCGAGGACCUCUCUGCUCCUUUGCAGUGCAGCCCUUCGUUUUCACUCUGCUUUCACAGCAGCGUUUCAUAUGGUCUGUGUCUUGAUUUCCUAGAAGCAUCCCUGCACUUCUCUGGCUAUGAAAACACCCCCACGAUGUCCUGCACGUACAGACUCAUAUAUGCAGCACACACACCCACUAGAUGGCUGUUUUCUAGCUCUUUAUUUGAUUGAAUUGUUACCAGAGGGAGGUGACAUUUUCUCACAAAGCUUUUUCUACUGCAAAAUUCAGGCUUAAAGACACCAGACUGCUCAUAAAGUGUGUAUCAAACCCGCCUAUUUCAUCAGGUAGAGAAAGCAAAACAUUAGGAGAUAUUCUGGAAUAGCUGGAGAUACACCUAUAGAACCAGCAAAUGGAUAUAUGGGAUGGGUUGAAAAUGCCAGAACUGUUAGGUUGGGAUCUGUUUCUAAAGAAGAAAAAAGAGAGUAAAUCUUGGAAUGAAACCUGGAUGCUUUGUUCAAAGCCAGGCAGAUGUGUUCCAUCUGGGUAGGAGGAGGUAUUCAAAACAAGGCCUGAUUGUUUUCCAGCAGUUUCUAAAUUGCCAAAAAAAGCCAAAUCAGCAUUGGUUCUUACAGUCUGAUAUUCAAAUCCACCCUUAUUGUGCCUAAAACACAAAGUGGCCAUUGCUUGGCACUGGAGGGGCAUGCAGAGAUGUUUUAUAUAGUACAGCGAGCACAGAAUGGCACAUUGCCCUUCAGGGUCUGUUUCAUUAGAGCCAGAAGGAAAGGACAGUAAGUGAGGGUCGUGUUCCUAUUUGAAUCUAACAUUCCACCAAUGUCUUUGAUUGCAUCCAAGCAGAGGUGGGCAUUCUGCUGCGUUUUACUCUCCUGCUGUAAACAUGAAAUAUUACUUUUAAUAGAUCUUUUCCCCUCAGAAAAAGAGGCUGAACACGUGUAAUUAGAGCAACAGGCACGUGUCUGCGUUCAGGGAGACAUCCCCAUAAAGGCAGUUGGCAUUUGAGCAGUCUCGAGUUAAAUCUGAAGGCUGGAUCUAUCCAUCUCCUAUUUUAUCAUGAAUGCUAAUUGGAGUCUGAGGGCCCUUUGAUGGAAGCAACACGGCAAACACAGCGUGUACCACUUCCUCCAAUUUCCAGAAAGCAAUAGGCACGUGAAGUGGACGUUGGGUUUAAUUUAUACUGUGAGAAUCCCUCGCUGCACAAUGCCUCCGUUUCCAGAUAUUAUUAACAGAGCCGGAGCGUCCUUCCAUGUGUGCUGGUGGAAAGGAACGAUAAAUCAAGCAUGCUUCUGGGACGAUUGCAAAACCUCCGUGCAACUUGACUCACAGUCUAAAAAUGUGCUUGUGGAAUGGUUGUGGUUGCAUCACGUAGGUGCUGCAAAGCAAACACCGAUUUGGAGAACCUCCUCUCCCCAUCCUCACUUCCUUGCAGCACGUGGCCAUACGUUUUCUGCCCUCUCCAGGAGCUGCUGGAUACUGAAAGAGCAUCCCUGGGAUCGAUGGUCCUCUCCUUUCUGCUACCACAGCAGCAAGAAGGGAACUCGAACUGGGAUCAAAGAGGUUUGGUUCGGCUCCUGAGAAGAGAAUGAAGAAGGGAAGGGACAGGAGGAGCACAUCUGGAGGCUGGUGCAUGGCUGCGUGGCCUUCCCCUCCAGCGAGCAGCGUUUGGAGAGGAAAUUGCCUUGUGGAUAGCUGAUAUGGGUGUUUGCUCAGGGGGAGCGGUGCGCCCGGGCAGGGAAAGGAAAUUCCUGGAUGCCAAGUCAAAUAUAGGGAAAAGAAAGCAGAUUCUGCAAGAAUAACUAUAUGCUGGAGAGAGAAGUUGAGCAGCCAGUCGGUGGCCGGGCACUGGGUUUGGGCAUGUGGGUGAUGGUCCAAGGGUUGGCAUGCAGCACAUCCCAGUACACCAAUAUCCCAGAAUCCCCACAUCCCCAAUAACCCAACAUCCCAGCACCCCAACAUCCCAGCAUCCCAAUAUGCCAGCACUGCAGCAUUCCAGAGUCCCACUGCAGCCCUUGGGCUCCGCUCGCUGCCCAGCACUGCACUCGGGAACGCAGGCAUGGCCAUUCCAUGUGGCUGGCUCCAUUCUUUUCUGGUUUUUUCCAUUUUAGGAGCUAUCCUGCACCAGCUUCUUUAUCAGUAGUAAAGAAGAAAAAGAAAGGAAAAAGGCACAAAGUAAAAAAAAGCAAAGCAAAACAUAACCACAGCGUUUUCCGUGACCCUUCUCUGGCCUCUGCUUACACAAAAAAAUCCUGGCAUCCAUAAUGAUCAGGCCUUUGAUUGAACGACAUUUUAAUUCGGGAUAUAUUAAAACAGCAUGUUUUCAAAUGAGCGGUCCCAGAGCAGAAGGGGAAGAGCAGGCUCCCCAGAACCUCUCCAGCUUCAGAGUCACAAGCUGUGCCCCAGAUGCCAUCACGGCAGCUUUGAUAGGCAGGCCCCUUGAUUUAAAAUAGGGCAGGGGGGGGGGUUGGCUAAUUGAAACCAUUGUGUUAUGAUAACCAAAUGUCUUCUGCCUUUUGCAUCUCCCAUAGAUGGCAAUGCAUAUUGAAAAAGACAUAAUAAUGCCACGUCCGUUUUCAGGGAGAGAUCAAAGGCUCUCCUGGAAAGAGGAGCCCAGUUGUCCCCCCCAAUGCAUCUGGGCUGCAGACAGCCAGUGGUAAAGGCGACUUCAUUCAUCCGCGGGGCAGAGGAAUGCUGUCUGGGUGCUUUGAAAAGUGCAAGGGCUGGUGGAGGGAGGAAAAAGCUCUGUGUAUGGGAACAGGGUGGAUUUAUGGCCCUCAUGCUGCAAUGGGGUCCUGUGGCUUCACUGUGCAUUUUGGCACAGCUGGCGCUGCAUUACCCAGGAGGCUGAGAGUGGGCUGCAAUGGGAGCAGCAAUCACCCAAAGCAGAGUCAGUGGCACAGAACGACCAAACCCAGGGUGAGCAGCAUCCUUAGUUGCUGCCUGCAGAACGGUAGCCCCGAGCUUCCAAUACGCUCCAUGAAAGCAUCCUCAUGGGGGUUCAUUCUAUCACCCCGUCCACGGUUUCUGGGCAGCUCUGCCCUAUUUGGCUCCAGCUUGAAUUUGGACCAGAGCAGGUGGAUGGAGUGAAGCUGCCCCUGCAGCUGUGGGCAUCCUGCCUUGGUGCAUCAGGAUCAUUGUAGCAAAACGUGCACCUCAUGGGCUGCCCUGAUGUGUUGCUCUGCAGAACAUCUGCAGCUGCCAGCAGGGCUCAGGGUGCCUCCCAGGAUGUCAGGAUGCUGCUCCUGGAGGUACUGUGGAGGAAAAAGGGGCAGGUUUGGCUGAUUUUAGAAGGCAUCUAAUUGCACCAGAUGGUACGGGCAUGUUUAAUUCACCCUCCAGAGAGGCUGACCUGUGAGCCACCUAACGUGGCUUUAUUGCUUUUCCCUGCAUACCCAGCAAAUCUCUGAGUGCAAGAACUCUGCUUUGUUUGCAUGUACAAUGAGACACUGGGAAACACCUGCCCAUCGCUCAGCAGACGCUCAGCCCGCUUGCAAAUACAUUUUAAGCCAUAAUUAAAAUGACAUGCCAUCUUCUCCUCGUACUACACAAGCAGAAGUAUGGCGUAUGGCCUCCAGAAAUCCAGAAUAACUCAAAGCAGAACUGGUUUGUAUGCUUAAUCAGACUGUGUGCUGAAUGCAGAACAUAACAACAACAAAAAAAACCAAUUAAAAAAAACCCAAACAACCCCAAACCUUUAUUAAAUGCACAGCACUGAGUGGGGACUUCUGCUCAACGUUGAUUGAGACAUUGGAAAAUUCAGCCCUCGUGUUUCAUCAGCUGCACUGAAAUACUUCGGUGCAGAUGGACAGAGCCCAGAUGGCAACCUCGGCUGCGGAGCAUCUCUGCCCCAGCCAUAUGCUGCUCAGAAGGGGAAGGGAUGCAGGGUUUGCUUCGUAGCUUUGGGACUCGCUGGUGCCACGUGGAGCUCAGAGCUGCUCAUUUCCACCCAACCCGCGCUAUGGUGACACAGUGGGGACGUGGCACUGCUGUCCUGCAGUGGGAAAAAGGCAUGGCAGGGAGCCAGGGAUGCACACACUGCGGCUUUGUGGGGCCACUGAUUGAGGCAGAUAGCGAUGUAAUUGGGCCAACACACACUGUCAGGGGGAGGGCUGUUUGGUACUGUGGGUUGAGCACUUUCUGCAAGAACAGGAGGGCUUUCUUUUUGAGAACACGAGAGCUGAGCAAACACCUCCAGGAGAAGUCUGUAGAAGUUUGAAUCUUGUCUCAUCCCUGAGAUGCUGCUGUUUGCAUGCAUGAAUUGGCCUUCUUUCUUCCUUCCACAGCCUCGUGAGACAUUCCGUGGAAGGUGGCAAGCAUUGGAUGAGUAACAUUUCCCCAUAGUGCAUUAAUCAACGCCUGCUUGGCCAAGCAGCAGUCAGUGUGAGAGGAGGACGAGUUGGGCUCCCAGGCACACGGGGAACUGCUGAGACUCAGAUUGCACACAGCAGCACCACAGUGACAAAGCUGCCUUGGUUCAGCACCCAGGGGCACUGCCACAAUCCCAGCUCAGAGAUGGGAUGGGAGGUAACAAGGUAUGGUGUGCAACUCGUUGCUGGUUCCAUGAGAGCUUCUCCAUGGCGCUCACACAGGGACAUAAAAUGUGAGGGGUGGCCUCUGUCCUCCUGGCACCGUGGUUCCCUGAGUGCAGCUCCCUUCCUUGAGCAGGAUCAGAGCAGGGCUUCGGAGGAUCCUACGCAGAGAGCAUCCUCCAAGGACGUGUUUUCAAAGGCUCUCCAUCUCCCAAAGGCUGAAUAAUCUCAAGAAAGGGCCCAGGAAGAAGUGAAAUCCUCUCCAGAACGGUCAUUUGCAAGAGUGUGUUUCCGUAACCUUGCAUUGUUACAGCAUCACAAGGAUUUGUCUCCUCUUCUGGCUUCAGCACACAUGUUCCUGGCUCCCAUGGAGGCACUGUGGACAGCCCAUGCCAUACAACGUGCCAGAAACAUGACCUCCCCAUGAACUUCGGGCCAUAUUUUCAAGUCUGCGCCCAGCUCCUUGCAGGCAGGGCUGUCUGGCCAGUGCAUUCUGGCCCUUUUGCAUGGAAAAUGAGCUGUGUCAGCCUUCGUGGCCCACUGGCUUGCCAGCUGCGUCCCUAACAGCACUUUGCAGCCUCCUCCCUCCGUGCUCAACAUGUUGCCUUCACCUGGCACAUGGGACAGCAACGAGGGGACUGUGAGCUUGUCCUCGGUGGCUGGGGCCCAGCUGGCCACCCCCAUCUCCCCACUGCAGCCACCGCACGCUCCUCGAUGCAGCAGAACUCAAUGUACAGCCCUUUUAUUUUUCCUCCUUGGUUUUCCUGUUCCCAGAACAGUUGAAUAUUUUACUUGCAUCGUGCCCCAGUUCCCCAGUUUCCAGCAGGCAGAACAGGGUGAUCUGUACCCAUCUCUUGCAGCAGCUGGUGCUUGUUCCCCUGGCAAAACUUCACUUUGGAGCUGAACCCAACAAUGCUGCUGACUCCAACUGAUUCUUUCUCCCCCAGCCUAAGGCACUUUAUGAUGAUAUUAAUAACCAGACACUGAGGUUCAGCACUAAGGAUUUCUUAAGCUUGCUGCUGGGGCUGUGAUUGAGCUUUGUAGCCAUCUCUGCUUCAUCCCAUGAUCCAUCAGGGUUGGUGGGGACACCCAGACCUCUUUUGGGAAGUCCCUCCACAGCUCCUCCCUCCCAUAGCACCCAUGGGGUCAGGGGCAGACCGGGUGCUCCCAGACCUCUUUCCUGUUCUGCCCUUAAUACAUCAAAGGGAGAUCUCUUGUUCGAUGGUUCUCUAUUAACCCUAUUCAUGAGUCUUUUAAUUAGUGUUGCCUUCUGCUAAGUAAUCGCUUCAGCCUUAGCUCCUCUGGGGCAAUGCAGAGCUGCAACAGGGCACUGCAGGAGCUGCAUGCUGCUGUUCUGCUUUCUGGACCUGCUCCUGCUGGCAACUAUGCCAUUCCUUUUGCACAGACCGCACAGUGCCAGAGCAGCCCACUAAAACUUGCAAAGAAAAGCAGAAAGAAGCAUCUGAAACCCCACCAGGAGCUGCGGCAGGUAGAGUUCUAUCCUUACAUCUGGGAAACCUCCAGCUCAGCUCAAUCCUGCUGAUGCACUGCUAAGGGGAGCUUUGUAGUGGCCCUAUUCAAAGCACUCAGCUCUGGGGGCAUGUUUCCCCCAGCACCCAGGAGCAAUGUUUCCUUUGUUAAUUCAGGGUCCCCACCAAUCUGCAUCACCCCAUGCCUGGAGGCAGAGCUGCCAUGGCUGCCUUUUAUCCCCUGCAUCCUCCGGCAGAGCUCACAAAGUGGUACUUUGUACCAGAGCAAGAAACAAGAGACGUGAGCUGUAAUACAGGAGAGAGAGAAAAAAAAACCCUCAUCUCACCCCUUGUGUUUUUCCUGGAAAUGUCACUGCCCUUAAUGCAUCAAAUAAUUAGAAUCACUUCUCCCCUUUUGUUUGCCUUGGCCCUCACUGCUCGCAUUGAGUGGGCCAACAUAAACCUGUGCGCACCACAGGAAUUUUGGGCACAGCCCAUUCUGCAGUGCUGGGUGCAGGGGGAGAAGUGGCUGCAGGAGCUUUGGUUCUGCUCCAUAUGUCUCUGCUGCUGUGGGCACUGCUGGGCACGGAGCUCCCGUAGAGAGGACCUCACUGCAACGCUAGUGCUCAACCAAGUGCUGGUCCCUAUGGAAAUCCACUGUCCUGGAGAGAAGCAGCAGCAGCUGAUGCCCAUUUAAUGCCAAAAUUGCAGAUUUGUGUUUGACCUGAGUGGUGGGUGUGAGCGUGAUGCUGGCGGGACAGAUGGGUGGAUAGCUCUCUGAAGUCCCAGUGGGAUGUUACGCUUGUUGCUCUGUAGUUGUAGCCUUCUCCUCUGGGUGCUGGGGAGUGCUCCGAGGUGACGUGGGAGAACAUAUCCCUUGUGAAUGCUGGAAAGCUGUGCUGGGUGAGGUGGCAUUGCACCACUAAUCCACGCACAGAGGAGCCCAGCACCCCCUCAGCACCCCUUACAGACACAGAUGGACACAGCCAGCAUCACAGCCCAGCUGGCUGCCUGCCCCCAGCACCGCUCCCAUGGGCUGCAUGUAUGUCAAUGGGUUAUUAAAGAAACGGAUGGGGGAUUAGCUGUGCUGUAGGUAGAGACCCCAUUCAGAUUUGCUAAGUUUCAGCAAGUAUGUUUUCAAUAAUUGGCUGGUAUUUGUAAGAAAUGAAUAAAACCUAGGCUACUAAAGUUGGUCCUUCUCUUAUUAUAAGGCAUUUAUUGCAUGCUUAGAAGCAUAUGUCUUCAAUAUCUGAAGCAAAGGAAAGUAAUACGUAAGGAUCCCUUCUUAAACACAAAUAUAUGCAGCCAUAAUCACAAUUAUUAGCCACCAUGAAAUAGCUAACAAACUGAAGAAGCCCCCUCAGCAGCAGCUUUACAACUGGGGGUGCAUAAGAAAUAAAGACAAAGGCGAGAAUUGCCCUCUUAGCUGUGCGAGACUCCACAAGGCAGAGGAAGGAUCAGCUCUGCUGAGGAGUGUUGGCAUCUCGGAGAAGGUUCACGGAUGAAGCCAAUGGAGAAGGGUGUGCAGGAGCGGGGCAGGGAAUUGGGAAGCAGCGCUGCUGCUGGUGGUUGUAUCCUUCUGAAGAAAGAACACUGGAAAACCAAAGCUACCUGUCACUGCUGCUGUUAUCGCAGAGGUAUUUGGGAGAGGGUGAGCGAAUGUUUCUGCAGAACUGCGUGCUGAUUUAUUGGUACGGAGGGAGGUGCAGCGGGGAAACCACUGUGCGGAUCAUUGGCGAGGAGGGGCACGUGGUUCUCCAAAGAUUUUUGUCUGAAAACGCAAUCAGCUGAAGUCAGCGCCGCGCUGAGGGUCUGAGCAGAGCUCAGUGCUGCUCAAGGAGGCACUUUCAUGUAAGAGGGAAGAAAUGGGCCCUGGCUCUGUGUAUAUCCCUGUUGGUCUUCUGAACACUUCGCGUUGCGUCUUCCUCCUCACUGCACCGCCCUGAAGCACAUACAGAAAAUGAUUGCUGAAAACGGGGCGUCCGCGAGUCACAAUGAGCGCAAUUAAACCAUGGAACGGAUUCCCCAGGGAUCUCACGCAUCCUUGGCUGCUUGGAGGAGCCUCAGGGCGGGCUGCAGCAGCUCCUUCCCUUUGGUGGAGCAGCGCUGUUCCUCCUGGGAUUUGCUCCAAACGGACAGCUCUGCUCUGCUCCAGCUGCUCGGUGGGUUUCUCUCCAGCACGUUGCUGGUUUGCACAUCGUUUCAAGCCUGCAGCUGUUAUCGGGCUGUUGGUUGGAGCGUUAUUCACUUCCAAUCCCUGCCUCAUUGCAGGGGGAGACCAUCCCUGGAGAUCCUCCCAUCUCCCAUCUCCAGGGCGCCGAUCCUCAGCCACUCUGAGCGCAAUGCAGACACCACACAGCUCAGCAGGUUUCAGUGCCUCUGCCACCAACUGCGACUCAAAUCCAAAGCGAUUUGGCUUUGUUUUGUUUCUAAGUUGCUGCUCGAGCUUUCUUGGCUCACAGGCAGAUUUUCUCUUCCAAGGUUUCAGUGGUGGAGGGCUGUUUCUCUAAUCCCCAAUAGUUUGAGAUUAUCUCCAGCCAACAAUUAAUCAGAAUCAGAAUUUUGCACUGCUUGCCUGUGCUGCCGCAUUGAGUGCAUGUAAAACCCUCUUUCCUCUGAAGAAAAGCAUGUUCUACUUUCCUAUGUUGCCUCCGGUCUCUUUAGCUGUCAGGGCACUCGGCAUCACACCAGGAUGCUGAAUAGGCCAAGGGAUGCCUUAAACAUACCACUCAAACAGGCAGAAAGUGGAUUCAGGAAGGCUCAACACGAGCUGAAAGCUCACUGUUUAGGAAGCAUCUCUGCUGGGGUGAGGGUUGGCUCUUAUGGGUUUGUGUUGCGGACUCAGCACUUGGGCAGCUUUGUUUUGGUGCAUGGAAUGCUCAGAGGCGUUCUCUGAGCGCUGUGUUUGGGUAAUAGCCAAAAAUGAACCCAGUUGGCUAAUGGAAAUGCAUCCUUCCUCCUGUGCUGGGACUGCGUUGCUCUGAGUGCGUUGGAAACAGCACCAGAAGUGAUGUCUGACUGCUGCAGAUCCCAAACCCUCAGUCAGGCACUGCUCUGUGGAUGAGCAAGAUGGGCACAGCUGGAUCUGCUCCUCAAGGAUCCGCUGCAGGUGUGUGACUGGGGAAUUUUUCCCAACCACUCAACCUUCUGACAGGGCUUCCAUCAGCUGGAGCUGCCUCUCCCUUCCAGCAUCUCUUCAGGCUGAAAAGAAAUCAUAUUUCCUGAAGCAACACCAAACAGGGAAGUGGUGCUGCUUUGUCAUGUCCAAUUUCAAGUAGCUCUUCUCCUUAAGCUGCUCACAAACAAGAGAGGAGGUUGUAACACACAGCUUCUUUCAGACACGAUUCUCUCCUGCUGAGCCCUGAUCUCUUGCUGUCUGCAGCUCUGUGCUCUAUAGAUGGCACACGAUGCCAGCUCUGCCUGGCAGCCACAAGCUGAUGGGAUUUGUAUUUGUCCCAUCACCCCAUGAGCUGUCACAGGGGUGGAUCCCACUCCCUCCUGGCACUUGCUGUCUGCUGAGGACUCCCGUGUUAUCACUGCUGUCAACUUCCAAGCUGCGUUUUAUAUGGGAAGGAAAGCUGCCAGGCUGCUCUGCGAGCCAGUAGGUAUUCUUGGAGACAAAACAUUCAGUCUGGACCCGGCGCUGGUGGUUAAGCUUUAUUUGGUUCUCAUUUCCUUGAGAACUGGAUGCUCCUCUCCAUCUGUCAGCUCACAAAGCUGGGUCAGGCCGGCUGCAUCCUCUGCUCCAAAGCAAGGACCCCAAAAGGGAUCAGCUCCCCUUGACAUCAACGGGUUCUGGAUUGGGCCCCAGGCAAAGGCUCUCAAGAACGUGCUGCAGUUUGGGAAGCGGAGAAGCUGCGGUUUAACAUGGGAAUAGUUGGAGCAAGAAAAAUGUUAUUACCAAAACUCAGCUUAAACCAAGAGUACCGCGAGGUCAAACGCUGCAGCCAGUCAGAAACACAGUGUUCUUGAGGAUUGUUAUACUGGAGUUACAGGAGACAAGGUGCUUUCGUGGUAAAUGGAAAACGCAGCUCGGCAGAGAGGAGGAAGCUGCAGCAAAUGCACUGCUGAUGUUAAGCUGCUGCCUCCCUGGGGCCAAGCAGCAGUGCAUGACUGGGAACGUCCCAUCCCUGGGUCAGCAGCUGGACACCUCCAAGGCAGGGACCCCCCAGCCCCUCUUAAAGCUCUCUUGAAUGAUCCCAUGCUGCAGAGAGUACUACUCUGUACAAACAUGUAUACAAAUGUAAGUACAUCCAUAUACUUGGCUGAGAUGUAUAAACUCUGCAAUGGACUUUGGAUGUAAGUGUGGUCUUUGCUGCUGGCUCACCGGAGAGGGUUCUCAGUUAAUCACGGCUCAGUGGUUGGGCUGGGUGAUCUUAUCCAAUCUUAAUGAAUCUAUGAUCCUAUGGAAAUAAAUUGUACCCAGCUUGUCCCUGCUGCUGUCCCCUCCAAAGGUGCCAGGUUGCUCCGUCACAGGCAACACCGGGAUGAGUCCCUGGGAUCGUACCAGCACUCGUAUUCGGUGUCAAGGAAGACAAUAUGGAAACUGUGCCAAAAGAGGCCUGAUCUAUCACAAAUGCCAUCUCAUCAUUUUCAGCUGCUUUGAACUUCCCAGUGACUUUUAUUUGUGCCUCCCUUUUCUUUCUGUGCCAGAACAGACUCACAUCUUGAAAAGCUCUUCUCCCCACGUAGCUGUUAUCCUGCAGCCCUCCCCAAAUCCCCCCAGCUGUGCCUCCUCUGCUCUGCCUUGCUGGGAUAAGCAAGGGAGGUUCUUUGUCUGCAGGUGAGUUGUCUGCUGGUCUUUUUUAGGGGAAAUUGGAGGGCUCCUUGCAGACACAGAGGGCCACAAAUGGGUGGACAGGGAGCUGCUAAACAAAGAGCUGGUGUGAAUUAGAAGAGAGAUAAAGAGCAAUGGACUUGAUAAGGAGUUGGACUUGAUGAUCCUUGUGUGUUCUUCCAACUUGGGAUAUUGUAUGAUUUUAUGAAAAGAACCAUUGGCCCACAUUGCAGCCAAACAGCCCAGGCAUGGAGCAGAAAACAGCUUGACAAAGGUCAUGCAAGGAGCAUCAGAACAAGUUUCAGAUGUAGUCCUUUAACCAGAUGGCUGCUGUCUUGUGAGCAGUGCUGCAGCACGAGCCGUCAUUGCUCCUGGGCCACGUUCUGUUCCCAAAUAAAGUGUAGGGUGGGUGGACAACCCUGUGGGUGACCUGGAGCUCUCCAGGUGGGAGGGCUGAGCUCCAGCAGCAUGGAUCCAAUAUGGAGCUCCUUUGGACGUGGGGACAGUGAGGAAGGCAGAGCAGACCAGAGGUGCCAGGGUGGCUCUGAAACCUUCUCCGAGGACAUGCUCCACCUUCACAUCUCACCUACGUCAGAAUGACCUCAUGUUCAUAACAGCAGGAAUUUCCAGCUGGCGCAGCCAAACCCUUUGCUGCUAAAUUAAAAUUUCUACCUCUCUCCGGAGAGUUAUUUCCCCUCCAUUCUUUUUAUUAAUAAAUUAAUAAUAAAGCAGUUUGCUGGAG